CAAAAACAUGUCCUUUUGUUUGUUUAUUUAAGGUCUAACCUGCCCAAUGAGGAAUUGAAUGGCCGCAGUAUUUUAACUGUGCUAAGGUAGCAUAAUCAUUUGUCUUUUAAUUGAGGGCUGGAAUGAAAGGUUGGACGAGACAUUAGCAUUCUUUAAUUUAAUUGAAAGAAUUUAAUUUUUGAGUCAAAAAGCUUAAAUAUAUUUGUUGGACGAGAAGACCCUAUAGAUCUUUAUAGUCUUAUGUUUUUGUAUUUUAGGGAAUAUCUAUAUUUAAAGCAAAAGGAUUAUUUUGUUGGGGUGACUAUGGAAUUAUAAUAACUUCUGUUUGUUGGAUUCAUUAAUUAGUGUUUUAUUGAUCCAUAAAUUUGUGAUUAAAAGAUUAAGUUACCUUAGGGAUAACAGCGUAAUUUUUUCGGAGAGUUCAUAUUGAUGAAGAAGUUUGCGACCUCGAUGUUGGAUUAAAAUAAGUUAUGGAUGUAGGAG
rnacentral:rRNA from 1 species